rnacentral:rRNA from 1 species
UACGUAGGGUGCGAGCGUUGUCCGGAAUUACUGGGCGUAAAGAGCUCGUAGGUGGUUUGUCGCGUUGUCCGUGAAAACUCACAACUCAAUUGUGGGCGUGCGGGCGAUACGGGCAGACUGGAGUACUGCAGGGGAGACUGGAAUUCCUGGUGUAGCGGUGGAAUGCGCAGAUAUCAGGAGGAACACCGGUGGCGAAGGCGGUUCUCUGGGCAUUACCUGACGCUGAGGAGCGAAAGUGUGGGGAGCGAACAGG